CAUAUCACAUUGAAACUACCGGUUCCUGUAUGAUCACCAAAGUUAAGCAAUGUCGAGCCUGGUCAGUACCUAGAUGACUGACAACUUGAGAAUACCAGAUGCUGUAUG